CGCACGCACUCACGCACGCACGCACGUACACACACACACACACACAUACAAACCAAAACAAACCAAAACAAACUGUAUGGGAAUACCAAACAGAGACACAUGGCUAGCUACAGAGACUGCCUCAGCUCAGCCAAUAUAUAUAUAUACCACACCUAGCUGUGCUUUACUUUACCAUGCACCAGAACUAUACUCUAUCAAUCACCUAGCUGUGCCAGACUUAGAAUGCAGAUGCUAAUGCUAAAUGCUAGUGCAAAUGCUAGUGCUAGUCCUUGUCCUAGUGCUAAAUACAAGUGCUAGUGCUAAAGCUAGAGCUAAUGCUAGUGCUAAUGCUAAUAGAAAACUUCAGGAGACUGGUUAAAGGACUUGUCAUUAAAUGUAUCCACACUGACAUCAUGCUACUUGAUUUACUUAAUUAGCACAGAGUACCCCUGCUUUGUAGUAGGAUGCUAGUAUGAAAAGUAGUGUUGUUACAAAACAGAAAAGAGAGAAAAAAGACAAUAUUGUUUGUGUGAUCUAUCUCUGGGUGUGUCUUCUGACAGCUGUCGUCGUUUCUCUGUGUGGGCUAAAUACAAAUGGACAGACAGAUAAACCGGUUUGAACUGGCUUCAUUAAUUCCUCGUCAUCUGCAAAUUCCUGAUACUCAUCAUCUUGGUAACACAAUGAUUUUGGAUGGACUUAUAAACCUGACUGAUUGGACAAAGCCAACAACAUCCUCUGGUUCCUCCCUUCACUUCCUGUUUUGGUGGAUGGGAUGAACUGACCUAUCACUGCAGGUGUUGGGAAGGAAAAGGGUGGAGCCGGGCCUAGUGCAUGUAACCUAGCAACAAACUGACAAUGUUUUUGUGUCUUUUCAACUCUUCUUGACCUCUGUUAGAACCCCAAAACCCUAGCUCCUCCCACCUGCUCCACCCCUCUCUCCUUUAUCCAUUAAAACUGCACAGCUUUCAGGAGGAUACUGUACCUCUGGUACAGAGAAAACGAAGAUGUUCAAGAGAUUAUGUAUGAGCUGUAUGUGUCUAUAUAUAUAUCCAGACUGUAAAUGCAUAUACAACUUACUUAUUUAUUGAUUAACGACUAAUGACGAUAUCAUUUAUUAUCGUUGAGGAAAACCGUGUAGUAGAGGUGGAUAAAGAAGGAAGGAUGUCGAAUGAAAGCAACACAUGGCUUUGGAGGUCUGUUCAGGUGCUUUGGUGAAUUUUUCUGAACGUGUUGGGGAGAAGGCUGUACAAACCAAUGGAGAGCCAGCUCUACCCCAACCUCCCUAUUCUAAAACGCUCUAAAAGUGGGCUUUUCUAAAAAAUAUAAUAGAAGUACACUGAAUGUUUUCAUUUCAAGCAAAAAAUAUAUAUACUUCAAAUGAUUCUGAUUGGUUGUAUGUAAUUGAGAAAGAGAGUAUUGUUUAUUGCGUAUGCCGUAAAGUGCUUGAGAAAGAACCACGGGAGAGCUGAUAUGCUGGACGUAUUUAGCCAUGACCAUGCCUAUGGUCCCUACAUGAUGUUUUAUAUACGCGACGGUGCGUCCAACCAGCCACUUUCCCUGGGUUUCAGUCCUGAGAGGUCUCAGGUUAUCUGCUGGGAAAUAUUUUUGAGGAUAGGAGGCAUUUUAGAAGAAAGCCCAAUGCAUUUAGUGGAUUCAGAUGUUUCAAAUGUUGCCUUAGGUUCAGAUUGAGCUGUACUGGUAAACUAGGUUCAGAUUGAGCUGUACUGGUAAACUAGGUUCAGAUUGAGCUGUACAGGUAAACUAGGUUCAGAUUGAGCUGUACUGGUAAACUAGGUUCAGAUUGAGCUGUACAGGUAAACUGGGUUCAGAUUGAGCUGUACAGGUAAACUAGGUUCAGAUUGAGCUGUACUGGUAAACUAGGUUCAGAUUGAGCUGUACAGGUAAACUAGGUUCAGUUUGAGCUGUACAGGUAAAUUAGGUUCAGAUUGAGCUGUACUGGUAAACUAGGUUCAGAUUGAGCUGUACAGGUAAACUAGGUUCAGAUUGAGCUGUACUGGUAAACUAGGUUCAGAUUGAGCUGUACUGGUAAACUGGGUUCAGAUUGAGCUGUACAGGUAAACUGGGUUCAGAUUGAGCUGUACAGGUAAACUAGGUUCAGAUUGAGCUGUACUGGUAAACUGGGUUCAGAUUGAGCUGUACUGGUAAACUAGGUUCAGAUUGAGCUGUACAGGUAAACUAGGUUCAGAUUGAGCUGUACAGGUAAACUAGGUUCAGAUUGAGCUGUACUGGUAAACUAGGUUCAGAUUGAGCUGUACUGGUAAACUAGGUUCAGAUUGAGCUGUACAGGUAAACUGGGUUCAGAUUGAGCUGUACUGGUAAACUAGGUUCAGAUUGAGCUGUACAGGUAAACUAGGUUCAGAUUGAGCUGUACAGGUAAACUAGGUUCAGAUUGAGCUGUACUGGUAAACUAGGUUCAGAUUGAGCUGUACUGGUAAACUAGGUUCAGAUUGAGCUGUACUGGUAAACUAGGUUCAGAUUGAGCUGUACUGGUAAACUAGGUUCAGAUUGAGCUGUACUGGUAAACUAGGUUCAGAUUGAGCUGUACUGGUAAACUAGGUUCAGAUUGAGGUGUACAGGUAAACUAGGUUCAGAUUGAGCUGUACAGGUAAACUAGGUUCAGAUUGAGCUGUACAGGUAAACUAGGUUCAGAUUGAGCUGUACUGGUAAACUAGGUUCAGAUUGAGCUGUACAGGUAAACUAGGUUCAGAUUGAGCUGUACAGGUAAACUAGGUUCAGAUUGAGCUGUACUGGUAAACUAGGUUCAGAUUGAGCUGUACUGGUAAACUAGGUUUUUAUUUAGCUGUACAGGUAAACUAGGUUCAGAUUGAGCUGUACUGGUAAACUGGGUUCAGAUUGAGCUGUACAGGUAAACUAGGUUCAGAUUGAGCUGUACUGGUAAACUAGGUUCAGAUUGAGCUGUACUGGUAAACUAGGUUCAGAUUGAGCUGUACUGGUAAACUAGGUUCAGAUUGAGCUGUACUGGUAAACUAGGUUCAGAUUGAGCUGUACUGGUAAACUAGGUUUUUAUUUAGCUGUACAGGUAAACUAGGUUCAGAUUGAGCUGUACUGGUAAACUAGGUUCAGAUUGAGCUGUACUGGUAAACUAGGUUCAGAUUGAGCUGUACAGGUAAACUAGGUUCAGAUUGAGCUGUACAGGUAAACUGGGUUCAGAUUGAGCUGUACAGGUAAACUAGGUUCAGAUUGAGCUGUACAGGUAAACUCGUUUCAGAUUGAGCUGUACUGGUAAACUAGGUUCAGAUUGAGCUGUACUGGUAAACUAGGUUCAGAUUGAGCUGUACAGGUAAACUAGGUUCAGAUUGAGCUGUACAGGUAAACUAGGUUCAGAUUGAGCUGUACUGGUAAACUAGGUUCAGAUUGAGCUGUACAGGUAAACUAGGUUCAGAUUGAGCUGUACUGGUAAACUAGGUUCAGAUUGAGCUGUACAGGUAAACUAGGUUCAGAUUGAGCUGUACUGGUAAACUAGGUUCAGAUUGAGCUGUACAGGUAAACUAGGUUCAGAUUGAGCUGUACUGGUAAACUAGGUUCAGAUUGAGCUGUACAGGUAAACUAGGUUCAGAUUGAGCUGUACUGGUAAACUAGGUUUUUAUUUAGCUGUACAGGUAAACUAGGUUUUUAUUUAGCUGUACAGGUAAACUAGGUUUUUAUUUAGCUGUACUGGUAAACUAGGUUUUUAUUUAGCUGUACAGGUAAACUAGGUUCAGAUUGAGCUCUACUGGUAAACUAGGUUCAGAUUGAGCUGUACAGGUAAACUAGGUUUUUAUUUAGCUGUACAGGUAAACUAGAGCUGGUAAAAAAGGAUUAAACCCUAAUAUGAUGUCAAGACAUUGUGGUUUAAGCCCUAGAUUAGGGUUUGUAAAGCCUAAAUAAUUCACAAUGAAAUUAUGUAAAUUAACAUAAAAAAUGAUAGGUAAGAAAAACAUAACAUUGCCAGGACGAAUCCACGAGGACAAGAGUUAUGUUCAAUCAGAUAAGAGUUAACCUAGCUUGUAGAUAAAGGUGGAUUAUUACUCUUAAAAAUGUAUUUGUAAAAAUGUAUUUCGUUCUUUUAUUUUGUUGUACAGUUAUAUUUUUUUAUAUAUUUUUUUUCUUAUUUUUAUUUUAUUUUACAUAAAUGAUUUAAAUAUUUUGUUAUCUCUAAAUUAAAUAUAUUUAAAAUCUUCAAUAAUUAAUUUUGAAAGAUAGGGGUUGAGAUAUGGAUGUUAACAGCUGUACUUUAAGACAUUAUUGCGUUAAUAACAAGCAUUUUAAAAUGUGAAUUAGUAUCAUGUUAUGGGCAAAGGACAUAACAUAUCAUAUUAUGUUAAAUGCCAGUUAUGGGGAUAAAUACCUGCCCAAAUUAUUAUGACUAUAACCAUAUAUUUGUUCUUGUGUUUUGGCACAUAUCUAUCUUCAUAACUUGAGGAAAGAUGUCAGUUGUUCAGAAAAUGUGCAGGAAAUGUGCAGAAAAUGCAGGAUAUGCAGAUGAGGAUGAGGGUUUUGUUAGUCUUCCAGGUACAGUUUGCUCUUCAUUGACAUCCUCCUGCAGGGUCAUACCACGGGACAGACAGUAUUGUACUGUAGUAGAGGUCUUAGUGAUGGAUAGAGCAGGGGGAGAGAGAAAGAGAGAAAAGAUACAGAGAAAUUUGUAAAACGGUGCAGAUGGAUUUUUCCCCUCCUUCAUAAUUAGAAGUGUUUCAUUUAUUGUUAUAUUAUUUAAUCUUUAUAAUAGCUAGCGACCCCCUGUGGCCAAAAUACGGUACUGGUUCUGGUCUCUCUACUUGGAAGUGAUAGGCAGAAUUAGAAAGAAGCUAAUGUAUUCUCUCUCUCUCUCUCUGUCUCUCCUGUUCCUCUCGUCCAUGUUCCGAUAGAAGUAAACUGUUCCUCAUUCUGUAUUCCGUAUCACUGUGGCACCACUACUGUUCUCCGUGCCCAUAUGACGUGUGUAACACGUCCGUGUCCAUGCUAUAUCAACGUGCUCUGGAUGUUAAUAACAAAGUGCUCAUGUGAUCAUA